AGUGAACGCUGGCGGUAGGCCUAACACAUGCAAGUCGAACGGCAGCACAGGAGAGCUUGCUCUCUGGGUGGCGAGUGGCGGACGGGUGAGGAAUACAUCGGAAUCUACUCUGUCGUGGGGGAUAACGUAGGGAAACUUACGCUAAUACCGCAUACGACCUACGGGUGAAAGCAGGGGAUCUUCGGACCUUGCGCGAUUGAAUGAGCCGAUGUCGGAUUAGCUAGUUGGCGGAGUAAAGGCCCACCAAGGCGAAGAUCCGUAGCUGGUCUGAGAGGAUGAUCAGCCACACUGGAACUGAGACACGGUCAAGACUCCUACGGGAGGCAGCAGUGGGGAAUAUUGGACAAUGGGCGCAAGCCUGAUCCAGCCAUACCGCGUGGGUGAAGAAGGCCUUCGGGUUGUAAAGCCCUUUUGUUGGGAAAGAAAUCCAGCUGGCUAAUACCCGGUUGGGAUGACGGUACCCAAAGAAUAAGCACCGGCUAACUUCGUGCCAGCCGCCGCGGUAA
rnacentral:rRNA from 1 species